rnacentral:rRNA from 1 species
AACGAACGCUGGCGGCAGGCUUAACACAUGCAAGUCGAACGCAUCCUUCGGGGUGAGUGGCAGACGGGUGAGUAACGCGUGGGAACGUGCCCUUCAGUUCGGGAUAACCCAGGGAAACUUGGGCUAAUACCGGAUACGUGCGAGAGCAGAAAGAUUUAUCGCUGAAGGAUCGGCCCGCGUCUGAUUAGCUAGUUGGUGGGGUAAUGGCCCACCAAGGCGACGAUCAGUAGCUGGUCUGAGAGGAUGAUCAGCCACAUUGAGACUGAGACACGGCCCAAACUCCUACGGGAGGCAGCCGUGGGGAAUAUUGGACAAUGGGCGCAAGCCUGAUCCAGCCAUGCCGCGUGAGUGAUGAAGGCCUUAGGGUUGUAAAGCUCUUUCGUCCGGGACGAUAAUGACGGUACCGGAAGAAGAAGCCCCGGCUAACUUCGUGCCAGCCGCCGCGGUAA